rnacentral:rRNA from 1 species
AUUGAACGCUGGCGGCAGGCCUAACACAUGCAAGUCGAGCGGAGCGGCGGACGGGUGAGUAAUGCCUAGGAAUCUGCCUGGUAGUGGGGGAUAACGUCCGGAAACGGGCGCUAAUACCGCAUACUAUCAGAUGAGCCUAGGUCGGAUUAGCUAGUUGGUGGGGUAAAGGCCUACCAAGGCGACGAUCCGUAACUGGUCUGAGAGGAUGAUCAGUCAAACGGGAACUGUGACAAGUUCCAGACUCCUACGGGAGGCAGCAGUGGGGAAUAUUGGACAAUGGGCGAAAGCCUGAUCCAGCCAUGCCGCGUGUGUUAAGAAGGUCUUCGGAUUGUAAAGCACUUUCAGCGGGGAGGCGUUACCCGAAGAAGAAGCACCGGCUAACUCCGUGCCAGCCGCCGCGGUAAUUC